rnacentral:rRNA from 1 species
UGGGGAAUAUUGCACAAUGGAGGAAACUCUGAUGCAGCGACGCCGCGUGAGUGAAGAAGUAAUUCGUUAUGUAAAGCUCUAUCAGCAGGGAAGAUAGUGACGGUACCUGACUAAGAAGCUCCGGCUAAAUACGUGCCAGCAGCCGCGGUAAUACGUAGGGGGCAAGCGUUGUCCGGAAUGACUGGGCGUAAAGGGAGUGUAGGCGGCUUAGCAAGUCAGAUGUGAAAGCCCGCGGCUUGACCGCGGAACUGCAUCUGAAACUGUUAGGCUUGAGUGCAGGAGAGGUAAGUGGAAUUCCUAGUGUAGCGGUGGAAUGCGUAGAUAUUAGGAGGAACACCAGAGGCGAAGGCGACUUACUGGACUGUAACUGACGCUGAGGCUCGAAAGCGUGGGGAGCAAACAGGAUUAGAUACCCUGGUAGU